AUCUAAAAUCUUGAUAUGACGGUCGAUAUUUAAAAUUUUGAUUUGAGUGGUCUUUGUUUUUAGGGUCAACUUGCUAAAGAACAGAGCAGAGCAGAAGCACUAUCAGCAGAGGUCUUGCAGCUCUCAGCACAACUCCAACAGGCCACACAAGCAUACAAUGGUCUUGCACGACUCUAUAAACCUGUAUUGCGGAGCAUUGAGAGCAAUCUCCU